UCUGUGACAACAACCGUUGUUUUUUUUUAGGAUUCGUUUACAACAACACUGGAAAGAUGUGAUUUUUCUUUCUACCUUAAACAACAAAUACUGUUUUCUUUUAAAUACAAUUUCGGAGGCUUGAGGUUAAAUGACGUUUUGUUUUUACACGAGUUCCCAUGUUAUUAUUAUGGCUAUUUAAUAAAUACUCAUAUGUGAUGUUUGCAUUGUGCAAACAGGCGAAGUUCACAAACGCCAAGUAUUUGUAAUCUUUGUCUUAAGUGUCUAGGUCAUAUUUGUUUGUUUUGUUUUUUAAUAUUCUCUUUUUACGCUAUUAUGCUGUAUUAUUUUUAUAAUGGAUAAGUAUGUAAUAUUCUUUAAAUUAAUAUGGCUUGUCUUAGUUUUUUAAAUAAUAAAACGACAUUGAAAUUAACACGUUUUGGUUAAAUAUACGUUGCAGGAAACACCAAUUCGCUACCAUGCUGCGCUUGCGCAGAACAAAUUGGCUUUAGCGGCUAAGGCUAUUUAGCCAUUAGCGUAAAGCCCGAUCCGACGGUGUGUCCGAUUCAGAAGAUAUGACUACAUGGUAUUCGGGUUCGGGUCGGGUACCUCUUUUGGUUGAAUACUUCCAGGAGAACCGAUAGUUAUGUCCUUUUGUUAUGUACUGGCCCGGUCGAUACCUUCCACUGUGGAUUUAUCUAAGUCACCUGAAUGCAAUACACUUCUCACGGUUAACCGCCCAUAAUCUGUUCCAUUUCAGUUAAUGAUGGAGGACCCAAAACAGAACUUGGCCACAGGGAAGUUUAAAAUCGCUGAAAACCGCACGAGGAAGUCAGCGGUGUGGCGACACUUUGAUUUGGUGGUAAAUUCAGAAAAUAACCAAGCCAGUGGGUUUGUACUGUGUAAAAAGUGUGGCAGACUGAUGAAAUACGACAGUAAGAAGACGGGGAAUUCACCCUUGCAGCGACAUGCGAGCAAAGGCUGCAGAAUGGCGGCAGGUUGUAAUAGUAGUUGUAGAAGAAGUACACGGACACCAAACAAGGCCGCGGUCAAGGCAAGUGUUCAAGUACCUCCCUUUUUUGGGAAAGAAAAGGGAAGUAUUGUACACUGUAUAACACCGUUCUUACUAUUACGUUUCUAUAAAAUAUAAAUUGCGUUUACUUUUUAUUGUUUGUAUUGUAUUGUUUAAAUAUAUCACGCAUUCAUUAAAAUACUUUAUUCCAAGCGUAUCCUGAUUUUAUGUCUUUGGAAAGGAAAUCCCAUGGGUUUGUUUUGUGCGCGUGCGCAGUAGGUCUUUAAUACAGAAGACCUGUAUAAGACUAUAUUUACAUGUCGAGCUUCAAUUUUACAAAUGGUGACAUUACGGGAGUGUUAGUAAUGAGAUCAGAAUUAAACAUAUCUGAAUUAAAAUCCUCACAUCAAAAUGUAAAUAAAUGUAUCAUUAUGUGUAUGUGUGGUUUACUUAAGUUUAGAUAAAAUGUUACAUGUUAUGAUAUAUUUUUUAGAAAUUACAAGUGUUAAAAUGAAUUUCCAUCACAGUGGAUAACUUUUCUUUUCUCUGUUCUGAGCUUUAGGAAGGUCAAAGGAGACUUGUGUGCCUGAACUGCCUUCAAAAACAGCCUCUUCCUUACACAUUUCUGACAGCACUAUUGGCCUGUUACCACAUAAAGAAGAUCCAGAUGAGGGUCCGUUUAUUGCAGACGAUGAAGCUGAGGAAGGAGAGGAAGAGCAGCUCAUGUCCAUGAACUGCACAAGGUUUCAGGAACCUCAAGCUACAAGUAAACUCUACACUCUGCACCUCAGAAAACAAAUCGAACUGACAGAAGCCACCACAAGGGUGAAAAGGAAAAGACUAGAGGAGCUGGAGCUGGACCUGGAAAUUAAGAGAAAGACACUGAGGAAACUGGAGCUGGAGAUUAUGAAAUUGGAAAGAGAACUUUGUGAGACAAGGUGAAGUCACAAAUGUAAUUUCUAUCGCACAGUAUUAUACUUAUAAUAGCUUUCUUCUUUCCUCUGUUGAAACCAUGUACUGAAAAAUAAAAAAAAUAAAUAAAAACAUUCAAAAUGUU